rnacentral:rRNA from 1 species
UUUCCGGUUGAUCCCGCCGGACCUGACUGCUAUCGGAUUGAUACUAAGCCAUGCGAGUCUUUGUAGUAAUACAAGGCAGACGGCUCAGUAAUACGUAGUCAACCUACCCUAUGGACAAGAAUAAUCUCGGGAAACUGAGCAUAAUUCUUGAUAGAUCAUAAUGCCUGGAAUGGUUUAUGGUUAAAAUGAUUCGUCGCCAUAGGAUGGGACUGCGGCCUAUCAGCUUGUUGGUGAGGUAAUGGCCCACCAAGGCGAUUACAGGUACGGGCUCUGAGAGGAGAAGCCCGGAGAUGGGUACUGAGACACGGACCCAGGCCCUAUGGGGCGCAGCAGGCGAGAAAACUUUGCAAUGUGCGAAAGCACGACAAGGUUAAUCCGAGUGAUUUCUGCUAAAGAAAUCUUUUACCAGUCGUAAAACCGCUGGUGAAUAAGGGGUGGGCAAGUUCUGGUGUCAGCCGCCGCGGUAAAACCAGCACCUCAAGUGGUCAGGAUGAUUAUUGGGCCUAAAGCAUCCGUAGCCGGCUUUGUAAGUUUUCGGUUAAAUCCAUGUGCUCAACGCAUGGGCUGCCGAAAAUACUGCAUAGCUAGGGAGUGGAAGAGGUAGACGGUACUCAGUAGGUAGGGGUAAAAUCCUUUGAUCUAUUGAUGACCACCUGUGGCGAA